GAUGAAGAAACGUAGUGAAAUGCGAUACGUAGUGUGAAUUGCAGAAUUCAGUGAAUCAUCGAAUCUUUGAACGCACAUUGCACCUCUCGGUAUUCCGGGAGGUAUGCCUGUUCGAGCGUCAUUUGUACCCUCAAGCUCUGCUUGGUGUUGGGUGUUUGUUCCGCCUCUGUGUGUGAACUCGCCUCAAAACAAUUGGCAGCCGGCGUACUUGUUUCGGAGCGCAGCACAUUUUGCGAUCCAGAUCAACGUACAGCGGCAUCCAAGAAGCCUUAUUUAACGCUCUUGACCUCGGAUCAGGUAGGGAUACCCGCUGAACUUAAGCAUAUCAAUAAGCGGAGGA
rnacentral:misc_RNA from 1 species